rnacentral:ncRNA from 2 species
CACUUAUCAAGAGAGACCGAGGGAACAGGCCCGACGACGUCCAGCAACCGCCAUUUGGAAAGGUGCUCCUUCCUGCAGAAUCUUGUAUUCUGAGAGAUAAGCG